rnacentral:tRNA from 1 species
UCCUCAAUAGCUCAACGGUAGAGCAAUCGGCUGUUAACCGGUUUGUUGUAGGUUCGAAUCCUACUUGGGGAG